UGAGAGGGUGAUCGGCCACACUGGGACUGAGACACGGCCCAGACUCCUACGGGAGGCAGCAGUAGGGAAUCUUCCGCAAUGGACGAAAGUCUGACGGAGCAACGCCGCGUGAGUGAUGAAGGUUUUCGGAUCGUAAAGCUCUGUUGUUAGGGAAGAACAAGUGCGAGAGUAACUGCUCGCACCUUGACGGUACCUAACCAGAAAGCCACGGCUAACUACGUGCCAGCAGCCGCGGUAAUACGUAGGUGGCAAGCGUUGUCCGGAAUUAUUGGGCGUAAAGGGCUCGCAGGCGGUUUCUUAAGUCUGAUGUGAAAGCCCCCGGCUCAACCGGGGAGGGUCAUUGGAAACUGGGAAACUUGAGUGCAGAAGAGGAGAGUGGAAUUCCACGUGUAGCGGUGAAAUGCGUAGAGAUGUGGAGGAACACCAGUGGCGAAGGCGACUCUCUGGUCUGUAACUGACGCUGAGGAGCGAAAGCGUGGGGAGCGAACAGGAUUAGAUACCCUGGUAGUCCACGCCGUAAACGAUGAGUGCUAAGUGUUAGGGGGUUUCCGCCCCUUAGUGCUGCAGCUAACGCAUUAAGCACUCCGCCUGGGGAGUACGGUCGCAAGACUGAAACUCAAAGGAAUUGACGGGGGCCCGCACAAGCGGUGGAGCAUGUGGUUUAAUUCGAAGCAACGCGAAGAACCUUACCAGGUCUUGACAUCCUCUGACAACCCUAGAGAUAGGGCUUUCCCUUCGGGGACAGAGUGACAGGUGGUGCAUGGUUGUCGUCAGCUCGUGUCGUGAGAUGUUGGGUUAAGUCCCGCAACGAGCGCAACCCUUGAUCUUAGUUGCCAGCAUUUAGUUGGGCACUCUAAGGUGACUGCCGGUGACAAACCGGAGGAAGGUGGGGAUGACGUCAAAUCAUCAUGCCCCUUAUGACCUGGGCUACACACGUGCUACAAUG
rnacentral:rRNA from 1 species